GGAAGGGCCAGCUGGAGGAAGAGGAUGGCUACGUAGCCUGCUCCCUGGGGAAGAACCGGACACCACAGAGGCCCUCAGGUGGUAGGGGUGUCUGGGAAGACGUGGAGUUUCCAGAUGGCCAUGUAGCAGAACCAGCUCCGAUUGCUUGGAUACAGAGGUUAGUCCAUAAUCAUCACGGAAGAAAACAUGGCAGCCUGUGGGCAGACAUGAUGCUGGAGAACCAGCUGAGAGCUGCAUCCUGAUCCGUAGGCAGCAGGAAGAGAGGGACGCUGGGCCUGGUGUGGAUACUGGAAACCUCCAAGCCCACUCCCCACUAGUGACACACCUCCUCCAACAAGGCCACACCUCCUGAGCUUUUCCAGCCAGCUUGCCCAACUGGGGACUAAGCACGCAUAUCUGUGAGCCUGUGGAGGCCAAUCUUUUUCAAACCAUCACCAGGUACACGAUAAAUAAAUG